rnacentral:rRNA from 1 species
AACGACUCUCGGCAACGGAUAUCUCGGCUCUCGCAUCGAUGAAGAACGUAGCGAAAUGCGAUACUUGGUGUGAAUUGCAGAAUCCCGUGAACCACCGAGUCUUUGAACGCAAGUUGCGCCCGAAGCCUUCCGGCCGAGGGCACGUCUGCCUGGGCGUCACGC